rnacentral:rRNA from 1 species
AUUGAACGCUGGCGGCAUGCCUUACACAUGCAAGUCGAACGGCAGCACGGGUGCUUGCACCUGGUGGCGAGUGGCGAACGGGUGAGUAAUACAUCGGAACAUGUCCUGUAGUGGGGGAUAGCCCGGCGAAAGCCGGAUUAAUACCGCAUACGAUCUACGGAUGAAAGCGGGGGACCUUCGGGCCUCGCGCUAUAGGGUUGGCCGAUGGCUGAUUAGCUAGUUGGUGGGGUAAAGGCCUACCAAGGCGACGAUCAGUAGCUGGUCUGAGAGGACGACCAGCCACACUGGGACUGAGACACGGCCCAGACUCCUACGGGAGGCAGCAGUGGGGAAUUUUGGACAAUGGGCGAAAGCCUGAUCCAGCAAUGCCGCGUGUGUGAAGAAGGCCUUCGGGUUGUAAAACACUUUUGUCCGGAAAGAAAUCCUUGGCCCUAAUACGGUCGGGGGAUGACGGUACCGGAAGAAUAAGCACCGGCUAACUACGUG